rnacentral:rRNA from 1 species
ACUUCGGUACAUCGGUGACAGGUGGUGCAUGGUUGUCGUCAGCUCGUGUCGUGAGAUGUUGGGUUAAGUCCCGCAACGAGCCGCAACCCCUAUUGUUAGUUGCCAUCAUUCAGUUGGGCACUCUAGCGAGACUGCCGGUAAUAAACCGGGAGGAAGUGGGGAUGACGUCAAAUCAUCAUGCCCCUUAUGACCUGGGCUACACACGUGCUACAAUGGUUGGUACAACGAGUUGCGAGUCGGUGACGGCGAGCUAAUCUCUUAAAGCCAAUCUCAGUUCGGAUUGUAGGCUGCAACUCGCCUACAUGAAGCCGGAAUCGCUAGUAAUCGCGGAUCAGCAUGCCGCGGUGAAUACGUUCCCGGGCCUU